rnacentral:rRNA from 1 species
UACGGGGGGGGCAAGCGUUGUUCGGAAUUACUGGGCGUAAAGGGCUCGUAGGUGGCCAACUAAGUCAGACGUGAAAUCCCCAGGCUCAACUUGGGAACUGCGUCUGAUACUGGAUGGCUUGAAUUCGGGAGAGGGAUGCAGAAUUCCAGGUGUAGCGGUGAAAUGCGUAGAUAUCUGGAGGAAUACCGGUGGCGAAGGCGGCAUCCUGGACCGGCACUGACACUGAGGCACGAAAGCGUGGGGAGCAAACAGG